ACCUACGGGGGGCAGCAGUGGGGAAUAUUGCACAAUGGGGGAAACCCUGAUGCAGCGACGCCGCGUGAAGGACGAAGUAUUUCGGUACGUAAACUUCUAUCAGCAGGGAAGAAAAUGACGGUACCUGACCAAGAAGCCCCGGCUAACUACGUGCCAGCAGCCGCGGUAAUACGUAGGGGGCAAGCGUUAUCCGGAUUUACUGGGUGUAAAGGGAGCGUAGGUGGCAAGGCAAGUCAGAUGUGAAAACCCGGGGCCCAACCCCGGGAGUGCAUUUGAAACUGCCUGGCUAGAGUGCAGGAGAGGUA
rnacentral:rRNA from 1 species